GGCAGGUGACCAAUAACACAUAGAGUGGAGAUCCUCGGGCAGAACUGCUUUUAAGUUCCCAGGAGCUGGAGGAUCUCCUAAUGAGAGGAAAACAGGUGGUGCUGUCAGAAGUGUUUGUCAGACCGUGGAAAACCUUAGACUCCAGAGGGGACUCAGCACCUGCUAUUACCUCCCAAGGAGGGACUCUCAGUGAUAUGCUGAGGUACUAAAGAUACUCCAUGGCUAGCAGGAAUUAAAGGGAAAUCGCCAGGCUGCCACCCUUCCAGCCUUCCUCCUCUCCAGGAUCCUGCAAGCACCGGAUUCAAUGUUUUAUUUUAUAAGAAUUUCCUGGGUCACAGUGCUUCUUCACAGCAGUAGAACAAGAGCCAAGACAGAAAUCAACGGGAAACUACACAAAUCCAACCCUGGGAGGAUGACAAACAGCAGAGACCCUUCAGGAAUGAAGGCUUCUCUGAGAACUGGAACAGAGCCAGAAAGCUCCAACCAGAGUGUUAGAAACAUCUAUAACUACUCUGGAACCUUCCAGCUAGAAGACAAGCUUUGAAGACAAUGUGCCCCCACCUGGAGGAUUGGGUGACUGAGAUAUUGAUCUAAGAAGUUUAUGUGCACAAAAUGGAUUUCCUAUUACCUUAAAUAAUGGCAACUGUGUUUUUCAGCUGUUUCUAAUACUGUUAGGAGGUCUUUGUUGGAUAUACUGUUUAUAGUCCAUGAAAGCUUUAUUGCAAUUCAAUAUCUGACUUAUUAGAGAAACUAGGUAACACAAGCAAGUCCCCUUCUAGCCACCUGACAAAUGAAUUGACAAUGUAACGAUUUGCAUAGCACUGAGAACAGGUGACCUCAAGCUCAGAGGUCUGUCUGCUUUUGCCUCCUGAGUGAGUGCAGGGAUUAAAGAGGAGCAGGGCAGCAUUCAGCUGAGAAUAGAGCUAGGAAGGACUCAGGGACUAUGGGAGGUGAAGAAAGAAAAGAAUGAGAUCUAGAACAGAUCCUGUAUUGUGUGUACUGAUCUUCCCCUUGAGACUGAAGACUUUAUAUCUGCAGUUGCUAGCUGACAACCUCCAGUCCUCAGUCUGAAGACUGUUUUUUUUUCCUUGCCAAAAAGCACUGCUUUCUGCCAGUGUGUGGCAGUGCUGAAGAGCCCUGAUAGCAUUUAGUAUAAGAUUUUUGAUUUUGAUUUUGGUCAGUUCCCAGGCUCAUGAAAUGUGCCAAUGAGCCGUCGCUCUCAAAUCAGUUAUAGGAUCGAAGGAAUCCAGUGCUUUGACCGUGCAUGGCAAACACACUACCAUAGAGACGCAAGCCACCAUCCAUCCCCGUGCUUCUUUGUUAAUGGAGGAGGAGUUGGGGAGAGGUUGUGCCCAUGCUGAAGGGGAGGGCAAUGCAAAGAGAAGACAAAGACAAAGAUGAGGUCUUUUUUGAAGGUGCUGAAUUUGAGGAAAUUUGUAAGCAAGCAAGCAAGCAAGCAAGCAAGCAAGCAAGCAAGCAAGCAAGCAAGCCAAGCAAGCAAGC
rnacentral:lncRNA from 1 species